rnacentral:rRNA from 1 species
CAGUCGAACGAAAAGAGGGAAAGAGCUUGCUCUUUCCGGAAUUGAGUGGCAAACGGGUGAGUAACACGUAAACAACCUGCCUUCAGGAUGGGGAUAACAGACGGAAACGACUGCUAAUACCGAAUAAGUUCCAAGAGCCGCAUGGCCCAUGGAAGAAAAGGUGGCCUCUACCUGUAAGCUAUCGCCUGAAGAGGGGUUUGCGUCUGAUUAGCUGGUUGGAGGGGUAACGGCCCACCAAGGCGACGAUCAGUAGCCGGUCUGAGAGGAUGAACGGUCACACUGGAACUGAGACACGGUCCAGACUCCUACGGGAGGCAGCAGUGGGGAAUCUUCCGCAAUGGGCGAAAGCCUGACGGAGCAACGCCGCGUGAGUGAUGACGGCCUUCGGGUUGUAAAACUCUGUGAUCCGGGACGAAAAGGCAGAGUGCGAAGAACAAACUGCAUUGACGGUACCGGAAAAGCAAGCCACGGCUAACUACGUGCCAGCAGCCGCGGUAAUACGUAGGUGGCAAGCGUUGUCCGGAAUUAUUGGGCGUAAAGCGCGCGCAGGCGGCUUCCCAAGUCCCUCUUAAAAGUGCGGGGCUUAACCCCGUGAUGGGAAGGAAACUGGGAAGCUGGAGUAUCGGAGAGGAAAGUGGAAUUCCUAGUGUAGCGGUGAAAUGCGUAGAGAUUAGGAAGAACACCGGUGGCGAAGGCGACUUUCUGGACGAAAACUGACGCUGAGGCGCGAAAGCGUGGG